UAUACCAGAGAGAGAAACCAUUCUUUUUCUCUCCGCCUCUUUCACUUUUUUUUUUUCUCUCACAACGAUUCAAACCCACUUCUUCCUCUGCAGAUCUACACAUGGUAAAUCGAUUUUCCACUUUGAUUUGUUAGUAGGGUUUUUCUCUUCUUUUCUUUCCCUCGUCUGUUCUCUUCUUCAGUCGCCUCUGUAGAACUUAAGCAAAUCUAGGGUUUUAGUUGUGAAGAAGAAGAAGAAUAUGAGUUACGCUAAUAUCUGGAAUUCUCAUCCUACGAAUUCUGAACCUGGAUAUCGUAGUUGUCUUGGGACAGUGAAUGCUGGUAAUGAGUCUAGGGUCUUGAGGUGAUAUGAAUCAUUUGAGUAGCAUUUUAAUUCUUCUCAAAAUUUGUGCUAAUAAAUCUUGUUCAGGUAACUAUGUUUGAAUUUCAUUCAACGUUCAGGUGAUAAUGGAACAAAAGAGUAGUUUGUUAAAAAUGAAAGAUUUGAGGAUGGUGGUUGGUCUAAUUGUGUAUGGAGUAGAUUUACUACUAGGUUUAAACUUCUUGGUCAUGAUGUGGAAGAAGAAAAGGUUACGGGGUUUUGGAUUUUGUUUACAAUCAGAGACUCAAAACAAAACUCCAGAGAGGACAAGGAAAAUUCAGUUGAAGAAGCUGUAUUCUGCCAUGGAAGGUUAUCGCAAAGUGUUAAAAGAGGAAUUUCUGUUCUUCACCACCAAAAUUUAAAUUGUGGAAAGUGGUUCUCACCCAAUUGAUGCGAUGGUUCUUAUCAAUUUGCAAAUUUGGGUAUCAAACUAGAUGCAUGGAUGAUUAGGUUAGUGUUAGAGAUUCCUAUGGUAAGGAAGUCUUACUAAGAGCAGUGUCAUGAGAAUUGUGAUUGUUAAGAGUUAAGGAUUGCUUGAAAUUGUUGCCUUGUUGGGUUUGCAUCUGGACUCGAAUUGGCAAGAGAACAAGUUCUGAGGGGAGCUCAAUACCAAAAAGAGAAACACACCUUUAAACACCACGGAAACUGCACAUCAUGUGUGAUGAAAAGCCUGAAAGAAGAUGACUCUUAUUCCUCUUUGAUACUAGCAACUUGGGGUUUGUUACUUUUGAUUUGCAUUAAGCUGGUGGAGGACUUCAUAUUAUUUGCUUUAUGUUUGUCCUGUGAUGAAUGUGCGCUGGUUUUCUUGAUUUCAGAGUCCAACAAUUAUAGCUUUUAAUGGUGGAAGAAUGAAACCUCAAACUUGCAAGAAAAUACCAAUAUUGGUACAUUUACUGUCAUGUGCUUCAUAGAGAGUUUUUUAUGUACUGCUUAUAUUCUGCGAUGUCAUCUCGCCAAGCUGCAUACAGAUUUUUAGUGCCUAAAUUGUGUAAGCAAACUUAGAGGUCAAUCUCUUUCCUAAUUAGAAAAUGAUAGUAGGAGAAGACACUUGGACGCUGUACAGCGCCAAGUGACAACAGUCUACAGAAAUGAAGAAAUCUCUGUGACAAACAUUUGGUACCUUCAUGGAUGUCGGCACUCUGUUCCCGAUGGUCGCUCUGUUCCCGAUGGUCUCAUGAGGCUAACUGAUGUCAUGGUUGAUGGUAAGAUUGUUGUUCCUGCUGGAUGUAGAAAUGGUUGAAAGGAUUGUGCGUCUACAGUUCUGCUCUCACGCAAGCUAGUGCCAAGAUCCUAAUGACUGAAGUUGUUGAAAUUCUCAGGACUUGUAUCACUUAAGAAACCUUAAUAAUUAGAAGCCUUUUUUUAAUGAUUUUGGACUAAAUUUAUGAGUACAGUUCAAUGUAAUCGAGCUAUCAUUUGGUAUUAGACGAAUCAGGUUCUACAUGGAAUUUGAAUUUGAGAAUUUGAAUUUCACUUGAAUUUGAGAACUUGAGUAAUUUCAUUUUGUUUA